rnacentral:rRNA from 1 species
GCAUGUGGUUUAAUUCGAAGCAACGCGCAGAACCUUACCAACCCUUGACAUCCAGGACAACCUGAGAGAUCAGGCCUUCCUUCGGACCUGACAGGUGCUGCAUGGCUGUCGUCAGCUCGUGUCGUGAGAUGUUCGGUUAAGUCCGGCAACGAGCGCAACCCACAUCCUUAGUUGCCAGCAGUUCGCUGGGCACUCUAGGGAAACUGCCCGUGAUAAGCGGGAGGAAGGUGUGGAUGACGUCAAGUCCUCAUGGCCCUUACGGGUUGGGCUACACACGUGCUACAAUGGCAGUGACAAUGGGUUAAUCCCAAAAAACUGUCUCAGUUCGGAUUGGGGUCUGCAACUCGACCCCAUGAAGUCGGAAUCGCUAGUAAUCGCGUAACAGCAUGACGCGGUGAAUACGUUCCCGGGCCUUGUACACACCGCCCGUCACACCAUGGGAGUUGGAUCUACCCGAAGGCCGUGCGCCAACC